UUGUUAUUAUUGUCCUGUGGUUGUCCAUCGGCCUCACGAUGGUUUGAGCACAAUUGGGUGAAAAUCCCAAACGGUCCCGCCGCUGUAAGACGAAAGUCAAGUCAGAUUGCUGACCAUAGGAUUUUAAGCUGC
rfam:Eubacterium limosum KIST612, complete genome.